rfam:Listeria monocytogenes str. 4b H7858 cont659, whole genome shotgun sequence.
UUACUAUUUGCGCAAGUUUUUACUUGUAUAGUUAUGCUUUAGCUCGUGACAAUUCCAGUAUGAAUGACACUGCAACAA